rnacentral:lncRNA from 1 species
GUGGUGGCACAUCUGUAAUCCCAGCAUUCUGAGAAAUUGGAACCAAGCGAAUCGAAAGUUCGAGCCCAGCCUGGGAAAUUUAGCAACUGAGCUAGACCUGAGUUCGAUCCCCAGGGUCUUACAGAGUAGCCACUGAGCAAGAGAAUACUAUAGUGAUAGGAGGGCCAUUCCUGAAGGACAAUGACAGAACUGCAGCUAAGGAGCAUCAAGGGCAGUGGUGCUCAAAGCGGUUUGCCUGGCCAGGAAGAUCAGCAUCUCCGGGGAACUUGUUAGAAACGCACGUGCUAAGGCCCACCUCGGACCUAAUGAAGCAGAAACUGCGGGUAGGGAUCAGCAAUCCGUUUCAGAGGCUCUCCAGGGGGAGCCACUACACAGCAAGGUUUGAGAAGCACUGACCUACAGACUUCCCCUUCGCCAGUGGGGAAAAAACCUGGAGGGCG